rnacentral:tRNA from 1 species
UGGGAACGAAUACUAUAGUAUUUGAUCUUGGCAGGGUCAGUGUUUUCGCCAUUAAUCAGAUCGAACUUCAUGG